AAGAGGCAGAGGCCAAGUCGGAAGCUGCUAACUUCCUUCUAAGAGGUUAUACUCCUUUUAUGCCUCUAU
rnacentral:tRNA from 1 species